GCUGUCGCUCCUCCACCUCCGCCACCAGCACCUCCACCUCGCACGCCGUAAAUUUAGUUUUUCUUGUCAUUUUGUCUGCGUGCGAGGACAGGGAGACCCUAUUUAAAUAAAUCUGCAUAUUUAUAGGAGGGCGUAACGGGGACGGGCCCAGUCACUCCGACAUCUGCGCUCAAUUCCACGCUGAUUGGGAUUUAUCAAGGAAACACACGUGGAUUUCGGCGCCCGCACACAUUGAUACAUACGGAUUUUUUUCAGCGUGACGGACCUUGCGUGCGCUCGUUUCUGGUAUGAGUUCCACGCAAGUGUUGAUACAUGAGGCCCCUGGUCUAGAGGUAUUUUGGUAGACCGGCAGCAUGUCAGCAUACGUCACCGAUCCCUCACCGGCAGGCUCCCACAGUGUCAGGCACAUUUCAGUGCAUUAAAUAAUCAAAAAACAACUAAUAAUCUAAGUCAGCACAUGCAUUUAGAUCUAUAUCGAUAUAUUCUGAUCUAUAUCCGAUCUGAUGAGCGCAUUUGGCAUGCGUUUGGACACUCAACCUGACCGAAUUAACACAGCUGAAACCGCAUUAAAUUAAAUUAAAUUAAAUUAAAUAUCUGGUAAAUAGACACAUAUGAUGAAGUUAACAAGCUAUGUUUUUCGUCUCCCUCCUUUUCUUUAUUCCUCUUCCUCUUAUUUCUCAUGCAGCUCAACCUGGACAUGUCUCCGUGUCCUCUCCCCGUCCUGCUGCAGCUGCUGCUGCGGCGGCUGAACAGAUGAUUUGUUUCAGUGAUUAGAUGAGUUUUUUACUUUAAGCCUACAUACGAAAAUUAUAAUAAUCAGUUUUGUGAGCCAAAUUUUUUUUAUAUGCCAACAUCUAUUAAAGAAAGAGCCAGGCCAAGGAGCGCGAAGCGUCAUUUAUGCACAGAUGGUUCCGACUUUUAUGCCAUUAUUGGAAUUUAUGUUGUGAUCUGUGCGCACAACCCACCUUUGUCACGUGAGGUUUAAUUCAUGCAACUUUAUGUGAGUGUCUUUAUUUGUGGAAAAGGGUGUUUGUCUUACCAGUGGGUCCAACAUUACACACACCAAAUCCAUUUGUGCUUAUAUGAGACAGUGUGCAGGACACCCUCUGCAGCGCUUACAGCGACACUUGUUGAGGGACUGCCUUCUGUUGCCAUCGUGUGGCAUUGCUGUCUUCAGACAUCUCUUGAUCUCUUUGGCUACUUAACAAAAAUUGUAAUAUGCCUCGCUGGGGGCGGAUUUAAAGGCGAGGAGAGGAGCUUAUGUUAUUGGUCAAUACAGGUCUUGGCUGUGUUAAACCCACUCCGCGCCCUCUCUCCUCCCUCCCUACGACUUACGCCACUGGGAGGAGCAGAGUUAGGAAGGGGGGAUACUUACGCCGGGCUGCGCCGCUCACCAAAAUACCAAAUUGUGCUUGGGAACACCUUGUCGUUGCAGGCGAUGCAUGAAAGCAGAGCCCUUUGAAGGAAGAACGCCCCAUUCCCUGUCAUAAGAGCAGAAUAAUCCCUUUUCUGGACUGAGGAUAGUCUACCCCAAUGAUGUGCGGUGUUCGGUGAGGAGAGAGAGGGUGUGAGGCUGUUAUUGUUGUUGAAAAAAAAGAGAGAAAAAUGGAAGGGAGAAUGUUAUGUCGUAUGUGUGAUAUUAAUGGAGCCAGAUACUGUUUUGCGUUUUACCGGUUAUUUACGGUAUAUAUGGUGAUAUGGUUGCACAUGUUGUCUGCCCAAUAAGUGGUAAGUUCAGAUGUAAAAGAAAAAGGUUUUUCAGUAGCAAGUAAUAAUUUCCGUGUUUACUGGUAAUGUUUAUUUUUCUUCUAAAAGGGGGGAGAUGUUGUGAGAUUGCUUAUUCUCAUGCAGUUGUUCUUUUAAGCCACCAUAGCGAGUGUGUAGGCUACGUGAUGACGUCAUACAGGGAGUUGUGUGAUGCACAUGGUUAGCGAGUCGGGUAUAUGUUCUGUGAUGUGCUGUUUUGAGAUCCCGAGCAAUAAAGCCAGAUAAAGCUGAAACCAAAGUCUGGUUCAUUCACAUGACAGUCUGCUUGUCCCAAAAACAUUUGUUAUCUUCAUUGGCUCCCUUACAGUUGCCUUGGAAGGCUGUUAUGUCUCCACUUGUGCAAAUUUUCGAGUUUUGUUGUAAUGUUUUUACAAUGUUACUUAUGUGCUGAGGUGUUUUUUGUUGUUGUUGUUGUUGUUGUUUUAGUAUUUCCUAAUCCCACACUGUGACCCCCUUGCUCUGUACCUGUCAUAUGUUUGACGACAAUCAAUUUUUCAGCAUAAUAGCUCCAUAACUCUUGGCAUUUUGUCAUAAAGUACACAACCCCUCAGAGCAGAAGGGGAGGCAAAGCACUAAAGUUUACAAAAAAGUGACAAAAAAUACUUAAUAUUAAAUAUUAAUACUGUCUUUAUUUUUCAUCACAUAUAAACAUUUCAUUAAACCUAUUGAAAGAUUUUUUUGUCUAUCAUCCUGUGUCCAAAGCAUACAAAAGAGCGAGCCAAAAUCUUCUAGAACAGCUUUCUGGGCGAAAUUCAUUAGAAGUUUAAAUAUAACUUGAUGAAAGAUGGAGUGUUUAUAAAAUGUUAUGUAUAUUUCAGGCUUUUUAAGGGCCCCCCUCCCCUUGGGGCCCACUUGGCCAGGACCACUUUUCCUUCUACUAUGAUGCUGCCGCUGCGCUUGGGGUUCUGUUGCUUUGUAUUCUGAAUCCAACUAAGAUGUAUUGUGCUUUGAUGCUAAUGUAGGUUUGCAGCAAGCUGAAGAUAGAUGGUUGGUCAAGUUGCAGUGUAGUUGGGAUGAAUGGAUAGCUUUUCUGUGGUGCAGAGAGAGGGGAUGGAUGGUCAGAUAGUACAUCACCAUUAUGAAAAGGCCUGAGAUGGAUGAUUCACCUUUCCUAUUUCUGUGGACUUCAGAACAAACAGGACAAACAUACUUGGACAGCUUCCAAAAGACUGCCAUGAUCGCCUUUGGGCACAAAAGCAAGUAUCAACCUUUAUUUUGAACCAGUAUUAUGCUUAAUGUUUUGAUAAUUUUGAUGGAGCUUGUCUUGUUUGCCUUACCCUGCUCAGCUUCCCAAUGCUUCCCUCCACAAAAAACCUGUUUAAUGAUAUCCCCUGUUCGCAAGCUUUUGUUUAAUACUUUAUCCUGAUAGGUACACAUCCCAUGGCAAGGGUGUGUUAUAUGUCAUCAACAAAGAACUGCUAGGAACAACAUAAUCCCACAAAUCAAAUCAAAUUGAUUCACAAUUUAUCCUCAGCAGUUUGCACUGAUUCCAUGUCCAUGGUCACUCUGGAGCCCCCUAAAAAUGUACUGUUAGGGCUCACAUUUAACCAGUUAUAUCCACUGCAACAAUAUGAGUUUGGUACAUGUAUAAUUGUUUUAAUGUUUAUUUGAUGUUGAGAUCACAAUUAUACUGCACAAACCAGAUUGAUUGUUUGAGUGUAUUACCACAUGUAAUAAAUCAAGUUGCAGUGUCAGUUCAGCAUUGCCAAAUCUUAGUCUGUGUCCUCAUCAUUUAAUUUUUCAACUUCAAUUAACUUGUCAAUUUAUGCCUACCAUUUGGUUGUAACCUAUAGGUUUUUGUUUCUUCUUUUGGUCGACUCUGCUGUCAUCUCCUCUCUCAUGUUCAAACAGUAAAGGAUCAAGUAAGUAGACAACUCUUGUAGAUUGAUAUUCAAG